UUUGGCAAAUUCUAGCUGUUUUCAAGUGCAAAACGGUGAAUGAAGGCAGACACUGCAUUACAGAAACUAGCACUACGCCGUAGCACCAGCCUCUUCUUUCCUCUUGCGGGCCCACCUUGGGCUAACCUCGAUGAGCCGAUGUGGCAUAAGCUGCCGCUCCUUUCUGGUUAGCUUCUUGUAGUUGCUCACCCUGAGUUUGGCAAUCUUUGCCUCUUCCUCGGCUGUAGCUUCUCUAACCACCACUGUCAAUCUGCACCUUGGUCGCACCAUGACACCACACCUCCCCUUGUCAUGGUAAGACAGCCUCUUCAGGUAAAGUCCCUUUCCCACAAAGGCCUCCUCUGCAGUUUGAAAGGUUACAGGAAAGUACUUAGUUUAUAACAAAUAUAGGGGAUGGCACAUGCUUUGUUUAAAAACCUUACCAACAAUGAGCUUAUAACAAGCAGUUGAGUAGUCAAACGUUCACUAAAGAGGACUCGGUAAACAGUUUUAGCAGCCCUUUUAACUGUCACUUGCAGCUGCAACAAGCCAUCUUCCAGACGCAUACCUUGGACCAGCUUUGCUACUAGAUUCACAUUCUUUGGGCUCUAAAACAGCCAAAAAGCUUCAGAAAAUCAGAGAUAAAAACAUCUCUUAAUGAUAUAAAUUACAGUAAAAGCAACAUGCAGUGUAUUAAUUGAUGAUCUUUGUGCAACCUCCUUCCCUGUUACCAUAUAUGCUUAGUACUAUUUUCAAGUGUUUUUAGUAAUUCAAAUUGAACCGAAGUUAAGCCAUUAGUGCAGCUUCUAGAAACAGGCACUCAGCAACAUAGAAUGAGCAACUUGCAUCCCUGCGACCAUUGAAAGGCUCGGGACAAAAUGUUUUUGUUGUUGAUGAUGACAUAACCACUGAAACCUCAUGAAGCCAUAUUUAGCUAUUUCAGGGAACACAAAGUCUAAAUGCAGCAAAUUUAUGAUAUUUUCCACAUUAAUAGAUAUGCCAUCAGCAACAUACUCGCUGGCACCUACAGCUGAGUAAUGUACCUGUCUUUAGCUUGAUUUUGUUUCUUAUACCCGAUCUGACCAGUACGCGGGUAAAAUUUUGUACCCACACCUAUAUCCAUAAGUGCGAAACUCAUUGGUGCAUACAACCACGGAUCCAAUUAUCAUCCUUUGUACUUGCAUCCAUUCUUGGUCAAUCUUAGACCGAGAAAUUUUCUUGAAGUUUUAUAUUAGCGCAAACUCAAGAAUCCUAAAAUCUUAAUGGUGUGGUUGGCAAGCAACGUGAAAACAUAUUAAAAAUUAAAGGUGCAACUGAGGGAAUAGUCCAAAUAUCUUGUUUGGUUUCUGAUGAAAUUAAGAUGGAGAGUUUAAAGGAGGAUUCUAAUCCUCUAUUUGGUUCGUGUGUUUAGAAUGGAAAUUAUACCAUAUAAGUUAGGAUGAAUGGUCUUAGGAUAUCGAUCUUUCACUUAAAUCAUGAUUCCCAUCCAAUUACCACUUCAGUAAGUUAUUAGUGGAAUUGUCACUUUAAACUUCCACUCGUUCUUUGUCCCACCAAACAAACAAAUAGAUUUCUAGGUUUGUAUAAAACUCCGAUUCUCUCUCAACAAUUAUCUCUAGAGAGCAUUUGGCAACCACUUGGAAAGAGAGGAGGGAAAUCAUUGAUAUUAGUUGAUAGAGAGAAUUAAGGUGAGACUUUGAUUUUUUAGUCCCAAAAUCUUAUUUGUUUGUGAAGGGAAUUAAAAUUAGGAAUUUAAGAAGCAAAUCCAAUAUUUUGUGACGGUAGUAGGCGUUUUGGUGAGGGUUUGGAGGAAAGUGGGUAUGAAAGUCCAGAGGGUCUAACUACCACCAUCAUUUCGUUGGACAAAUGAUAAUUGGUUGGGAAAUGUGUUUUGAGCGAAAGGUAAAUGCAUUUGUAUUGCUUAUUAUAAUAUACGUUAUAAUUUUCCGAUGCAUAAACAAACUCCCAUUCCAUUCUCCUACUUACCUCCAAGCAAACAACGUUAAUCAAAUGAUUCUACUCAGUUGGAGCAGACGAAGUAAAAAAUGCAUUGACAAAAUUUAAUAUGAUAAAAAAAGUUAAGAAAUUUUUUUAUUUGGUGAAAACCGCAGUAAAUUACCGAGGGACGCCGGAAUGCCGAAUUGGGGUGAUUGUGACAGGAGAAAAAGGAAAGGAGCAGAACAGUUUUCGUGUGAGUGCUGAGUGCGUCUGCGUGCCUGCGCAAGCGCGAGCCUGAUAAAGGCUUUCCACUCUCAGGGGCAGAGCGGCGCCUCCCUCCCCACACCGCGGCGCGAGAGGAAACCCUAGCCGCCGGUGAUGUCGGACCCCUUCUACCCGUACUCCCGCGGCGCCUUGCCGGGCGGCGACGGCGCGCUGCCGCCGCCGCGGUACUCGGACCUUGAGGUCGACCUCAUCGCGGCCCGUUACACCGGCACCCCCCCGCCCUACCCCUCCUCCGCCGACGUCAGCGCCUUCGAUUCGCACGUCGGCGCUUUCGACUCUGGCGUCGGUGCCUUCGACUCCGCACGUCGGCGCUUUCGACUCUGGCGUGGGCGCCUUCGACUCGCACGUUGGCGCUUUCGACUCGCACAUUGGCGCCUUCGACUCGCACAUUGGUGCUUUCGACUCGCACGUUGGUGCUUUCAAUUCGCGCUUCGGUGCGAAGCGAUCCGCGGAAGGUGAGAGCUGCCAUCUCCCCUGUUUCGGUUGGUGUAAGGCGUUUCCCAGUGUGCUCAUCGGACAAUGCUGGCCGAUGUACGGGAGGGGCGUGGGCGAUUUGUUUCCUGGUCGUGGUUACCGUGGUGUAUGGACGUAUGGCUGCUUUGUUAAUCUGAAACUUACUACUGUAGUACGAAUGUACGAUGAUCCAUUGACCAUUGGCAGUGGCAUUUGGAGCAUAUGUUGGUAGGCUGUAUAUAAGUUAUGGAUCCUAUGAAUUAUCGGUCAGGUGUUGUUAGUGUUAAUGUAGCUCGUACUGCUCUACUAUAUAUAUAAAGUAAUUACCAACAGUUUAUUAUGCUUCGUGGAAUUGUGAGGGUACGUGAAACUUACAUUGAAACACAGCAGAGAAUAGAGAACGGCAGUAACUGCACAAUUUAGUAUCAGCAGUGCCAUUGCCUUCGACUUAUAUAUACUGCCUGUCUCAUAGCCUUAUAGCCUCUCAGGUGUUGGGUUGUUUGAAAGUAUUUAUUUGAAAGUAUUUAUGUAAAUGUUGUGUAGAUUGUAGUUUCAUGGUUCUAAAGGGUCCUUUGCGAAUGAUCUGAGCAAUUAAGGACAAGAGGAUCCAGGGGCGGAUCCAGAACGGGGCUGCGCCCCGGGCUGAGCUGUUGAAUCACACCUAAAAUAGUCUAAUUUUGUCUCCUAAACCUUAUUUUGUUAGGCUAAACAGCACAUAGGUUAAAGGGACUCCAUGAUCUCGCCCCGGGCUGCAGCCCGGGCAGCCCGGGCCCUGGAUCCGCCCCUGAGAGGAUCACCAGCCUAGUUCUCUGAAGGUGCUUGAGUCGCGAAGCUUCUAAAGGAGUUUCCAAGUAGGCUGAGAUCGGUUUUGUUUGCAUUGAACUUUGUUUUAGUUUUGUCCUUUUCAAACAUCUGACUAUCUGAGACCUUUGUGUAUGGAAUAAGCUUAGAACAUUUGAACAGGGAAGAGCCUUGGUAAUGCUAGGUAGUAACUGUACCAGAAAACAGAAUACUGGGAGUUUAGACCUUUGGUCGUGUGAUUUUGAAUGUAGUUAAGACCUUUGGGCGUGUGAUUUUGAAUGUGAAAACGCUAUCACAUUUUUUCUAUUGAAUAAAUCCAGGCCAAUUUUGAGGUUAGCUACCAGCUAUAAACGUACUUGAUUAUUGCUAUUCUACUGUAACGAAACAUAACAAGUUACACUGUUGGAGUACUUCUAAAGUGAGUGAUACCAAGAGGUUCUCAGACAUAGCAUUAGAUCUAGGAUUUUUCCUUAUACUAGUAUUACUUUUACAUUGGAUAGCUAUGCUUUCAUUCAUGUAAGUACUUUGUGAUUAUUUUCAGUAUAUGGUUGCCUAAUACAGAUGGCUUAUAAAGUUCUUUUGUAUAUCUACUAUAGCUCUCUAUCAUCAAUCUUUUAUGGGAAGUCAUAGUACUGUUGCCCAGAAUGAGGCUUUAUAUUCACCAAAUACUAUGGCUAAACGCCCUAGGCUUGAAAGUAGCCUUCCUAUAUAUCCACAACGACCAGGGGAAAAGGACUGUGCCUUCUAUAUGAGGACCAGAACCUGUAAGUAUGGAGAGGCCUGCAAAUUUGACCAUCCACAAUGGGUUCCAGAGGGUGGGGUUCCAAACUGGAAAGAGGUGACUAUCUUAUAUUUUAUUAUUUCAAAUGUUAAUUCUGGUAUGUUUUUUUUUGUGGUGCGUAUCUUUACGGCUCUAUCGUUUGAGAAAAAAAAAACUUCAUGGCUUUAUCCAUGUUAUUUGCAAAACCAUGCUUGCAUUACUGUUAGUUGGGAAUUAGGUAUGGCCACAUGAAUAGAAGGUUACACAGGUAGCUGGCCUCUAUUUCUGCAUUGAAGUGUUAAACAGAUGCAUUGCAACAACACAUUUUUUUUUUUAUAAAACAAACUAGAUCAUCUAGCUGCACUUUGCAGGGUAGCCAUUCAAUCAUGGUCGAGAGAGCUCACGAGGAUUUUCAAGAUAUUUUUUUAUAAAACAAGCUAGAUCAUCUAGCUGCACCUGGCAGGGUAGCCUCUCAAUGGUUGAGAGAGCCCGCGUGGAUUUUUAGGCUUGUCCAUAUUUUGAUUUACAAUGUUCUAUUUUUAAAAAGGAAAAAAAUAACUUUUGUCCCUCUAUUCUCUUCGACAAAAAGAGACGUCUCUGUUUAAUUCAUGAAUAAAAAGAUUAAUAUAGUUUGUAUCAUAUUCCGAAAUUCCUCACUUGAGUGUGUGGUGUGCCUGUGUGUGAUUGUGUGCGUGUGUAUGUACUCUUCCUUGCGGAGGGGUACAUAUAAUCUGUCCAUUGCUCUCUUUCUUUAAUACGGAGAUAUGCUGCUCUCCUGGGUGUUCUAGAAAAAAAAAACUUGCCAGAAACAGUGAGAGUGGGCAGGGGUGGGAGGGAAGGAGAAGAGCGAAAGACCGGCCAGGAAAUCUUUACUCAGCAGGGCCAAUCGACCUAUGUUUCCCCUGUCCCUGCCGGCUUCAGUGGUCGUCGAUUUGGAUUGGGCAGUGGCGAUGCUUGAUCUGGACGGGGACAGCGGCAGGAGUUGUUAUAGGCAUGGCAGAUUUGUUACAGCUCCCUCUCUCUGUGUUCGAUUGCUGCUGGCGAUGCACUAUAGCAUCGUUGCUGCUAGCAAUUUGCCCAAUUGGGAUGGGUGGAUCGCAAGGCUUGGAUUAUCUCUUUCUCAGAAUAGGUGCAUGAGUUAGGAUUCUUAGAAAGGGUGGUGGGCUGGACUAGUUUAGGAAAGCCCAAUCUUCCCUCUAUUUUCUAUAUUAAUUUUCUUUUCUCUUGACAAGUGAGCAUGUGUACCAUCAUGUAUGGAAUCUCCUUGCCUAAGCACCUUAGGUAUAGAGGGUUGGGUCACCAUGCGUCACCUUAUUGCUGUAAGAACCAUGGUACACUACUCCUACCAUGUGUAUUCCUCCAACUCCAUGUUGCUGCUUUAUUUCCUUCUGAAUUGCAUGCCUCGGCUUUAUUCCUCACCAUCGUGCUGCAGAACAUUGACUCAAAAUCAUUACGUGCCAUCCAUUGUCUUUUUGUCACUUUUGGUUCAACAUGACCUGGUUCCAGUCUAUGCAUUUAUUCUAGCUUCAUCAUGCUGGACAAGUGACUCCUUGUGCAUUUGCAUCUGCACUACAAAACUGCGUGCCCGUGCCUUGCUCUCACUACUACAAUUCUUGCUGUCACUCCCAUUAGACAAUGUUUAACUAAUACUUAAUCAGCUGAAGUGCUGAUAAACAUUGACAAAAGCAACUAUUUAUGUGGGGGCAUGCCUAGUAGCUAUAAAACAGUCGCACUUUCAUGGGAAUGCUGUUUCUGGAGUCACUUUUUGAAAUUUCCUUGACUAUUACUUGGUUUCCCUUUCCAUAUUUAUUUGGUGCCUUCUGGAAUAAUCACCAUAAUUUUAUGUAAUUGUGCCUUCUGUCUUGUAAUCCUCUGAAUGAUUUUUUUCCUGGAUUACUUUUGCAGGUCCCAAAUGUUGAAGAUUCUUAUCCUGAGCGACCAGGGGAACCUGAUUGUCCUGUAAGCAAUUCAUAUUCUUGUUUAGAAUCUGUUUGAUUUGAUAUUCAUAAUAUUGAUCUUGACUUUGCAGUAUCUUGUGAAGUCUAAUACAUGUAGAUUUAAAUCCAGAUGCAAGUUCAACCAUCCAAAGGAAAAGGUGAAUGCACUAGAGGCUGGAACAGACAAAGAAGUAAUCUUUUGUACAAAAUGUUUGCAAACGUAAAACCCCUAUGUGAGGAAAAAAAAUCCAUCGUAUGCCUUGAAAAUAGAAAAAGGAAACUCAUUGUGAUCAAAUCGUUUCAUAACACAAUGCAAAAGUUAAAUGCUAUCACUAGCAUAUAUGAAAAUCACAAAACUGAAAUUAUGCAUUGGGGGUCCUGUUUCAUUCAUCCACCAAAACCUCUUUGGGCCUGUUUGUUUCAUUGGAAUCAUGCGGAAUUGGAAUUAGUUUUUAGAGUCGGCUUGUUUGGCUCCACCAGAAUUGGAAACGGUCUUUCCUCAAGUUUCCAGCGUCCAAAUCAUUAGCCUGCGACACAUUCUGACCCUCAAAAUAGGAAAUCAUUUCUCCCUCGACCCCGAUCGCCUCUCCUGUGUACCGCCACCCCCCAACUCUUUCUCCCAUCGACUCCCCGAGCGUUGCGCCACGGCCCCCUCCUCCACUUCCUAGUGCCCCUUCCUCCGCCGCCCCCUCUUCCUCUUCAUGCUACGGAAUCCUCCCUACGGCAUGGCAGCUAGGGUUUCCUAGUGCCGAGCCGUUCUCUUCCUGCUGCCGGAGCCAAGGCCAAGCGCGGCGAAGAAGACAACGUCAAGCAUCACCAGGGCCAGGAGCAGUGAAGAAGGUGACGCCGAGGAGCUCCAGGGGCGGGCGUGGCGAGGAAGGCGGCGUCAAGGAUCUCCAUAGCCGGCGGCCCCGUCUACCUCGCCGCCGUCCUCGAGUACCUUGACGCUGAGGUUCGUGCAACAUCUAUUCUUCUCCCUGAUUGCACUUCGCUCUUACUAUUUGUGCCUUGAUCUGGUUGUAGCAUGUUGUCUGAUUUGAAUGUCUAACAACAAUGGAGACUUCAUUUGAAUGUCUAACAACUCCAUGUGUUAGAGAGAGAGCUAUGCUAGUAGCAUGUUGUUCCAUUUGAAUUUCUAAUCAACCAAACAAUAUUUGGAAUCUAAUUCUAAGAAUUAGUUUCUUUGUACAUCCAAAUAAGAAAAUUGAAAUGAAUCUGAUUCUAUGUAAUUUAAUUCCUAUUGAAUCCAAUUGCUAGAAUGAGAUUCAAUUCCGACGAAACAAACACGCCUUAGGUAUAUGCACUUUGAAAACAUCAAAAGCAAAAUGUCUCCAUUGAGAAUAGACUUAGUGAUACCACUAAAGCUAAUUAAUUUUAUGGACCAUCUUCAAGGAUUUAUUUAAUUACUUUUAUUUAGGUUUCAUGUGUAUAUAAGACGACGAAGAGUCAUGGAAGAGCUAUCAACAAAUGAUUAAGUUGUCUUAUUUUGAUCUCGUUGAGAAACUAGCGGAAAAUAUAUAACAGAUAGCCGUGUUAUUGUGUACAUGCUAAAAGAUAGUUGAUUUGGCAAAGUUUGAGUGGACUUUAGUGGCGAGAAGAGAAGUUUUUUGUUCUUGGAAUGCGUCCCUUAGGGCUUACAGGAUGCCUAGCACGAUCUCACCUUGGUUAUUGAGCUGGACCGCAUGCAGGUUGGGAUGUGAUCAGUCGCAAGUCCCUCUGCAGUACGGUGGAGAGAAGAGGCUCGUCAGCAGGAGAAGAGGUUCCUUUUAACUUUAAGCUUCUACCUUUGAGUCACUAUCAUGCGAGCCUCCUUGCAUUUGAGCUCACAUGGCAUUAACUCAAAAGCAGAGGGAUCAAUCGUUCCGUCAGCACAAUACUCUUGAGGACAAACUGGAGGCUCAUUGCGUUAUUGUCUCUCUAGUAUUUGUAGUGCCUAGUCAGAGUUGAAUUAUUGUGCUAAGGUUACAUUUAUGCCGAUGUAUUCAUAGAGCCAUGUUUGAGACAUCAGCAAGUGCUGCAUUACUAGAAUUGUGACAUCCGCGGAAGGAAUAACCUGAAACGUUCAACAAUUUAAUCUGGGGCAUGGCAUGGGUUGGAAGCUUUUGAUUUGGUUAUUGUCACGGUUAAUAGAUGGAUGAAUUGAAAUGAUCAUGCAUGUCUACCAAUGCAAAAAGAUGGUGUCUUCUAUUUUCCUCAAGAAAUCGUAGUUGAUCUUGGUAGAAACUUUGCAUCGAAGUGCCCGAGUGGAGUAGGCAUUUUGACUAUUGAUGUGGUCGGGGGUAAGUGCCACGUUAGACUGGAGACAAAAUGGAAUGACGUAGGCCCAAACUGGCACUGUGUCCUUCCUUGAAACAGCUAGAAAUUUAGAAUUUCUCUAGUUCGUGUUCAAAUCACUUCGUAGCACGGCACUAGAGCUUCUGUGAAGUAUUUGUUUAGUGAACAGAAAGAAUAUGGUCCAGCAACUAGCAAAGAAUUCAUGACUUUGUAGCAUGGUACUAUUAGCUUGUGUGAACUAUUUGGCGAAGAUGUUGCGCGCGGCGCCCUGGCAGCAACUAGCAAAAGGUGGUGGUUGGGUUGAGAACGAGCACGGGACGGAGCGAGCCACCUUCCGCGUACAGCGACGUCGGAUUUACGAUCGAGACGGUCACACCGGCGUGCCCUGCAAUGAGCCGAAGACGUCGGAUCUAGUCCAUGAUGCUCUACCCCCAGCCUGACCAGCACCCUUUGCCCCCCAAAUCAAAGCUAGGGAUGAUUGGGCACCGCCACAUUGCCUGGCGAAGCAUGCCCGGAGCGGCACCUAAUUAACCUGCUCUCGUCCCCCGAAUGCAUCCGGUACGGGACUAAAACGCCAUUGCAUUGUCAAGGGUUGUCAAGGGGAGGAGUAGUGGGAUGUGUACGUGAAGAGGUUGUCGUGACAGCUGCCGUCUCGCGUGGUCGUCCGAACGUGUGGAAGGGAUCAGGGAAGCGUGGUCGCACGCGCAGAGCUGUUACGGGUUCCCCUGCGAGGCGAGCGCCCUCGUCCUAGAGCUGCCGUUUUGCCGAGCGAGGACGACCAGCUGGCAGCUGUACGGAAUGGACGCUGCUAGCCGUACCACCCGCCAUGGUAGCUUUCCCCCUUGGCAUGCACGUACGGAAUGGACGCCGCUAGCUGCCGGUACCACCCGCCGGCCGGAGACUAUCCAGGCCCUUGGGGCAUGCAAGUGGCCAGCACGUACUCCAACACUCGAUUCUUCAGAAAAACUGUAGGUUGUAUCAGCCGACACUCAAGUUGAUGAUAUGGCUUCAUCAAAUCAUCAUGCAACACGCAUGCUGCUGUUUCUCUUGGGUGCCAAAUUGGCAAUGCAACUUGUUCAAUCCCCGGUGGAUGCAAGUGCAUCAGUUUCAAUAACACUUGAACCACAAUCGCCACUGCUUUACUCGUGCUCUGCGUUCCAGAAAAGAAGACAGGUUCAGGCCGAGGUCAAGUUGACUACGAGCGAGCUUUAAACAUUUUUAAACCAUCCAUUUUGUUUAUGGAUAAUUUUAUUCUUUAUUUUUAUUUUCAUACAACUGACGAUAUCAAUGGUUGAUCACCAUACGAGUAGUCUUGCUUCUGUCUUCCUCCAAUCGAGCACACAUUAUUCAUAAUUCAUCUUCAUUCCAGUUCUUUCCUUUCUCGAGCACUUGCCCCCGUCUCACCGCCCUCCACCUUUUUUUUUGUCAAGAUAACACUCACCCAUAUAAGGCUAGAUUUUGAUGGAUUUCCAAAAUCUGAAUUCUAAGCAAAAUCUGAAUAGUGUUGUUUGGAUCCCUAAGUUUUAGAAGCUGAUUUUAUGAUUGCUUGUUGGAUAGAUGCCUUUUAUGUCCUUGCUUCAAUAUGGGAGAAUUGGGUAAUUACUAGAAGGAUGAUGGGCAAAAUGGUAAUUUACGUGUGCAGAAUAUGGUGGAAGCAACCCUUGUGCAACUUCUGGGAUUCUCUGAAUCCAGAAUUUCAGCUUCUUAAAUCUUGGCCAGCAGCUGCCCCGUUUGGAGGCGCUCCAGAUUCCAUCUUCUGGAUUCUGGAAAUCUACCCCAAUCCAAACAGGAUCUAAAUACAUGUAUAGAAUCAACCCUACUAGAAUCUUCAAGAGACUGGAAUGACGGAUCUUGAGAUUGACGAAGGAGCCUCACUCUUGAUACGUAUGUUACAUACCACUAAAAAAAUGACACCUUCAAUUCCUAGAAUUAAUCUAUGAAAAUACGAGCACCCGUGCCAACUUAAGGACUCUAAUUUUGGUGAUAGAUUCCAUCAAAAAAAUCUGACCAAUUGACGGUUUGAAGGUGCCCCCACCGGUGAAUCUAAAAUAUGGUUGCCGCCAUGGCAGCACAAACGGGGUGUGAACUUCACUCCUCUAUGCUAAUUUUACCCAAAAGGCCAUCCUCUGCCAAUGUGGCUGCAUUCCGGAGCCACGGCAAAGGCGAGCUCACACUGUAAACUUGCUACCAAGGUCUCCACCAAUAGUGCCAACUAAGCUAGCUUUUACCAUGUACACGUCAUCGUAUAUUCAUAUAUGUUAUAAGAGACAACCUAAUUGUCUCUUAUACACCCAUUAAGUAAAAAUAAUAAGAAACAACUUUUUCUAGAAAACGUAAUGAGAGACAACCUUAGAGAUAAUCUAUUGGAGAAACUAAUUUUAGUCUGGUGCUCUUAGAUGGCAUGCAUUACCUUAGAGUAGACCUAUCUCGACUAUUGGUGGAGGCCUAGCAUUACUAGCUACUUCCUCCGGUGUCAAAGUAUCUACCAUUUCGGUAUGCAUGUAGUCCUCAUAUUAUAGUCCUGAAUAUCUAUAUCUCUUUGUGAGAAAAUUCCUUAUAUGGCACCGGAUAAAAAUCUGAUUUCCUAUAUGACACUAGAAAUUUUUGCCUCCCUUAUUUGACACUGGGAUUUAUUUUCCAUUCCUUUCUUGACACUUCUGUUCCUUAUUUGACACCGGGAUUUAUCGUUCGUUCCUUUCUUAACACUUCCACUAGAUCUGUUAGGAACUUCCAUCAAAUUUACUAUAAACAUGUACCAAAAUACCCCUGAAAUUUAUACUCUCAUCCCUGUCCGAUUCCUUUGCAAGCUGCCUGAGUGCACCAUGCUAUAUAUUCACGCUGGCGAGGGGCUGGUGAUGCCUCGAUGGCGAGUAGGGUGAAAGCAGCAGGCCGAGAGCACAACCAUGUCAUGAACUCAUGAUGCGCCCGACACCAGGUUCUCAUCCACAUAAACGAUAGGCUGUAGGAUUUUUUUUUCUAUAGAGGACAUCAAUCCUGUAAUGUUUGUGUUUUAUUCUAGAAUGGGAGGAUCGUUAAUCUAUAAUUUUUUUAUUGAAUAAUUAUCUAGCUAAAGCUGUCGGAAUUCGCAAACAUAAUGUCCAGCUUUUAUAUGAUCUUUAGGAUAAUUCACAACAAAUUAUUCAAUUUCAUUGUAUCACGUUCUAUAUAUUUCACCAUAUGUCACAAGGACUUCUGGACGUAAUGCAGCCGCAUGAAGCUCACCAUAUAUCAUUAGAUAAGAUGAGGGGAAAAAUGUCUUUUUAGGUGGGACUUACCAGCCAAACUAAUAGAAGUGCUAAGAAAGGAAUUAAAAAUACAUCCUGAUGUCAAAUAAGGAACAUAAGUAUCAAGAAAGGAAUGAAAAAUAAAUCCCGAUGUUAAAUAAGGGAGGCAAAACUUUAUAGUGUCAUAUAGGGAACCAGAUUUUUAUCUAGUGCCAUAUAGGGAAUUUUCUCUCUUUAAAUAUGUCAAAUUAGCUUUAAAAGUAUCCCAGUUUCAAAUAUUAGACAUUAAUUUGCUAUAUUUUGAAUGUUUUCGAGAAAGGAAAGAACGAUUCCUGCAGUAGUACCUGGAUCCGAAGUAUAUUAUUGCUUUGUAAAUAUAAGGGAAGAUCAAAAGCUGAACAUAGUAGAAGCAAUAGCCGAUGCACCUUAGAUCAAUGGUUACUUCUUUUCCAAGAAUACAAACCAGAAACCAAAAUAUUUGUGUUAAAAAAAAUGUAUAAUUGUAAGUAUAAAAGAAUGUUAAAAUUACAAAACAAUGAUUUUGCAACGGUGAACAAAAGGUGGUGGUUCUUUAGAGUGCGCAGCACGGAUACGGAGCGAGCCAUCCCACUUAGUGUAGGAUCAUACGGAUUUACGAUCUUGGUCCUCACGGUUGCCGGAUUUACGGUCGUCACCGUCACACCAGCUCCGCUUCUCCUUGACCGUCACAAUGUUUGGACCUGCAGGGUGGGUGUCGGUUCCGGUACAUGGUGCAAUGCCCCCGCCGAGCCAUCACCUUUGCCUCCGCUUGGAAUGACGUGGGCCACCGAGACGAGGCCCGGCGACCUCUCGGCGCAGCGGCACGCCAUUUGAGGUGCUCCUGACGCUCGAGGUCGCCCGGUGUGGGACAAAAUUAACCAAACUGCGGCGCUCGCGCACGGCAUCGAUCCCUUGUCGUGCAAAACAGAACUGGAGUCGGAGAUGGUGCCGUACUGGCGUGUGCGUGUGCGUGUGCGUGCGCGGUACGCCAAGACAGUGGUGCGCGCGCGCCGCAUGGGGGCCUGGACCGGAGCUGGCUCGUAGCAACAGGCGUGCGGCGUCACGGGCUUUGGAUCCAUCGCCGCCCGCACCGAUCGAGCUCACGACGCCGCCACGUCAAUGCGUCAUCUGCGUACGUGUGCCAGCUAGACCGUAGUAGAUGAGAGAAGUACGCCGGCUGUGAGCAGAGUAGCGCAUGCGAGUGUAUGACGCAACACUAUACGCGUGCUACACAAGGGCGAUCCUGCUUGAAUGUCGAUCAAGGACGAUCGGCACGACAUUCAGUGCCAGUUUGGGCCUACGUCAUUCCAUUUUAUCUCCAGUCUAACGUGGCACUUACCCCGACCACAUCAAUAGUCAAAAUGCCUACUCCACUCGGGCACUUCGAUGCAAAGUUUGUACCAAGAUCAACUACGAUUUCUUGAGGAAAAUAGAAGACACCAUCAGUUUGCAUUUGUAGACAUGCAUGAUCAUUUCAAUUCAUCCAUCUAUUAAUCGUGACAAUAACCAAAUCAAAAGCUUCCAACCCAUGCCAUGCCCCAGAUUAAAUUGUUGAACGUUUCAUGUUAUUCCUUCCGCGGAUGUCACAAUUCUAGUAAUGCAGCACUUGCUGAUGUCUCAAACAUGGCUCUAUGAAUACAUCGGCAUAAAUGUAACCUUAGCACGAUAAUUCAACUCUGACUAGGCACUACAAAUACCAGAUGGACAAGAACGCAAUGAGCCUCCAGUUUGUCCUCAAUUGUAUUGUGCUGACGGAACGAUUGAUCCCUCUGCUUUUGAGUUAAUGCCAUGUGAGCUCAAAUGCAAGGAGGCUCGGCAUGAUAGUGACUCAAAGGUAGAAGCUUAAAGUUAAAAGGAACCUCUUCUCCUGCCGACGAGCCUCUUCUCUCUACCGUACUGCAGAGGGACUUGCGACUGAUCACAUCCCAACCUGCAUGCGGUCCAGCUCAAUAACCAAGGUGAGAUCGUGCUAGGCAUCCUGUAAGCCCUAAGGGACGCAUUCAAGAAUAAAAAACUUCUCUUCUCGCCACUAAAGUCCACUCAAACUUUGCCAAAUCAACUAUCUUUUAGCAUGUACACAAUAACACGGCUAUCUGUUAUAUAUUUUCCGCUAGUUUCUCAACGAGAUCAAAAUAAGACAACUUAAUCAUUUGUUGAUAGCUCUUCCAUGACUCUUCGUCGUCCUAUAUACACAUGAAACCUAAAUAAAAGUAAUUAAAGAAAUCCUUGAAGAUGGUCCAUAAAAUUAAUUAGCUUUAGUGGUAUCACUAAGUGUAUUCUCAAUGGAGACAUUUUGCUUUUGCUGUUUUCAAAGUGCAUAUACCUACGGUGUGUUUGUUUCAUCGGAAUUGAAUCUCAUUCUAGCAAUUGGAUUCAAUAGGAAUUAAAUUACAUAGAAUCAAAUUCAUUUCAAUUUUCUUAUUUGGAUGUACAAGAAACUAAUUCUUAGAAUUAGAUUCCAAAUAUUGUUUGGUUGAUUAGAAAUUCAAAUGGAACAACAUGCUACUAGCAUAGCUCUCUCUCUAACACAUGGAGUUGUUAGACAUUCAAAUGAAGUCUCCAUUGUUGUUAGACAUUCAAAUCAGACAACAUGCUACAACCAGAUCAAGGCACAAAUAGUAAGAGCGAAGUGCAAUCAGGGAGGAGAAUAGAUGUUGCACGAACCUCAGCGUCAAGGUACUCGAGGAUGGCGGCGAGGUAGACGGGGCCGCCGGCUCUGGAGAUCCUCGACGCCGCCUUCCUCGCCACGCCCGCCCCUGGAGCUGCUCGGCGUCACCUUCUUCACUGCGCCUGGCCCUGGCGAUGCUUGACGUUGUCUUCUUCGCCGCGCUUGGCCUUGGCUCCGGCAGUCGGAGAUGGUGCCGUACUGGCGUGUGCGUGCGCAGUACGCCAAGACAGUGGUGCGCGCGCCGCGUAGGAACUGGACCGGAGCUGGCAGCAGCAAAAGCUCCAUCGCGUUGAUAAUCAAGAGCUCAGGCAACGACAGCCUCAUGCAUUUGUCAAUUCAAUCUUCUUUUCUUCCCUUGCACGAGCCCUUGACAAGGCCUCCUCGGCCCUACCCGAGUUCAGUGGCACAGCAACUUUCAGCAGAUCAACAAAAGUUUCGACAUCCUUGAGCUCUCCUUCAUCUCCAAGAUACUUGAGUAUCAUCUCAAUCAUUGAACAACUAGGGACCCAGCCACUAUUUGGGACGUAUACACGGAGGGCAUUCUUCGCAGCUCAUAAGCUUUCACAACAUUACCUUUCUUCAAGAAGUCGUCCAGCAGCCUCUCAGCCUUGUCCAGCAGGUCCUUCUGGCGGUACCCAGUGAGCAGGACAUUUGGAACGUGGAAGUCGAAUGCAUUUCCGCUAGACUCCCACUCUUUCAACAGAGCUUCAGCUUCUCCGAUCUCAUCAAGCUUCACGAGUACCGCAAGCAUUCAGUUUUAGAAAUUGAAAUUUACCGAGAUAGAAGAAAGAGGGUUUUAGAAUUAUUACAAAAGGUAUACUUGGAAAAGAUUCUAAAGAAGUAUAGUAUGCAUGCGAGUAAACCUACGUCUACUCCCAUAGUCAAGGGCGAUAGAUUUGGGAAAUUUUAGGUCCCAGAAACCAAUAUGAGAUCUAUCAAAUGAAAGCGGUUCCAUAUGCUUCAACUGUCGGAAGCUUAAUGUAUGCUCAAGUAUGUACACGCCUUGACUUAGCUUUUGUGACCGGGAUACUUGGCAGAUAUCAGGAUAAUCCAGAAAUAGAUCACUAGAAAAUGGUAAAGAAGGCCUUGUGUUAUAUGCAAGGCACGAAAGGCCUCAUGUUAACGUACAGAAGAAUUGAUUCCCUAGAAAUAGAAGGUACUCAUAUUCAGAUUUUGCGGGAGAUGUAGAUGAUAGAAAGUCCACAUCAGAUUAUGUAUUCUCUCUUGUAGGUGGAGCCAUAUCGUGGAAAAGCUCCAAGCAAACCGUCACUGCAUCGUCCACUAUGUAUGCCGAGUUUGUAGCGUGUUAUGAGGCCACGGGACAGGCAAAAUGGCUUAAGAAAUUUGUACCAGGUUGAAAGUGGUAGAUAGCAUUCAAAGGCCACUCAAGAUGUACUGCGAUAAUGAGCCAACAGUAUUUUAUACUCACAACAACAAGUCAAGUGGUGCUACCAAACAUAUUGACAUCAAGUUUUAUAUUGUGAAAGAGAAAAUCCAGGAUCAUACUAUUAGUCUACAGCAUCUAAGAAUAAAGAAAAUGCUCGUGGAUCCACUCACGAAAGGCUUACCGCCCAAUGUGUUCAAAGAACACUUAGCUGACAUGGGUUUACGGGAAAGCCUAUGAUCCCUGGAUACUAAGGGUCCAGAAUAAGAAUCUGUUUCAAAAUAGAAAGGUGUGUUGUAACUGUUGAAUCUGAUAGUACGUAACCGACUAUUAUGACGAGGCAUGCUCUAUACACUGAUUUGUAAUGAAAUGGGUGCUAAGUUAAGUAUUCCAAAUUUAAGACUAAGCUAAAGUAUAAGGUGAGAUCAAGGGGGAGAAUAUUAGUGUUGAUCUCCACUGACUCGGUCCAAUGACGGAGUCGGACCCUGAUCCCACGUCCUAAUCGGGGGUGCACAACCAACUCAUGGUUGUGGGUCCCUAUCGCGUAGUGCUAUGAAGAGAAGGUGGGGGCGGGAGCAUGUAUGCCAAGGUUUGUUGUGCCCACCAGACCCACCGGUAGAACCCUAGACCCGAUCACCAUAGCGCUGAGGCGGCGGGAAGCACCGCUGCCACCUCGCCGCGCUGCCGCCACCCUCGCUGUCAACACCACCGUCACCACCAUGACGAGCUCAUCCUCCAAACCCGAUGGUGGUGCCCCUACUCUCUCUCUCCUCUCUCUCUCCCUCUCGGUUGUUCCUGUUUAGACUAAGAUAUACAUUUUAACCUAAAAAAUGAAGUUGAUUACUCGCUAGGUUUACACCUAGAGAUCCUAGAUUUCUAUCAGUCACAACAAUUGAUGCUAUAAUAUAGUCUAGCAACGUUACCUCUCUCCUUGGAAGGCCAGCAAGAGUAAGUGUCACAGGCUGCUCAGGAUCCCAAUUUCCGUUGGCACCAGGUUCAGAGCGGUUCAUAGGAUGGUGAAACUUGCAUUUAUGAGAAUACUUGCAAAAUCCUGUCUUCAUGUAAAACUGCAAUACACCAAAAUGAGAAAAGGACAAAAAGCUCAAAUAAGCACAAUAAAUCAAACACAUAGAUGAACUGAAUUGGACAUUUAAGGAGAUGGUCAUGCCACAUACAUCACAAACAGUCUCUCCAGGCCUCUGAGGAUAUAUUGGCACAGGUUCAAUUAGUGUUUUACAAAAAGAAAGUGUUGACCCCAAAAGUGUGUUGACCCAAAAAAUCGGACGGUGACCUUCACGUACUAACACACGAAAGGCCUGGGAUAUUUGCUUCACUCCCGUGCAGGUCCUGUAAAUCGGCGCGCGUGGUGUGCGCAGGUGUGCCAGUCAGUUUGACCAUUCAACUGACAAGGUGUAGAUGAUCUUUUUGGAGUUCGAGGCAACUGGACGAUCAGGCCAAUAUGAUCCUGGCACCAACGGUGAUGAUGACGUAGCAAAAUAAAGCAUGGUGAAUAAAUAUAUUGGCUAUUAAGCUGAUUCCAGUAUCUUGAUGAGCGUGGUUCAUCGGCUAUCCAGUCGAUUCAACACAAUUGGCGAUAACCAUCGGUUAGAAAGCCGAUAGGAGACAGAGCGCCGUUGAGCUCUUGCUCCACCGUAGCUAGAGCCACAAGCCAAUGAGAUUCAAACUAACAUUACUGCCAGUAUUUCUAGGUGAAACCACAGCGAUGUGCCCAGUAGUUGCAGCCUAGAAACACUCAAUAGGACGCCAAUCUAAAUCUCGCCAGCUGAUGAAUCUAAUCACAAUAGAACUCAAUUCCAACAGCACUCGAGGGGUAACCAAGAUUAAAAUGCAACAGGCUAUUAAGAGAUCUAUCGUCUUCAAUGAUACGAUCUAGAGCUAAUUAAAGCAAACUAGACAACAAGAUGAUAGAACAGAUAAAUAUCAGCCGAUGCAAACUUAACCAAGGUAGGAUAACUGGUGAAUACCGUAGAUUGAGACAGAAGUGAUGCGCCGUAAGUCAAAGAUCCAAGAUACUCGAUAACUGGUAGUGAAACCAGACCCAACGACAGCAAUGCACUCGGAAGUUGAAGUCUGAUACACUUGAUGAUGGGAACUUGCAGCUUGCCGGAGAUCGAGGUCGAUACAAUCCAGCCUGCUAGAAGGAACUCGUCGAGAAGCUACGUUACUUCUACUCCUAGGGCAAUGGCGUGAAGCCGAAAGUUAGAUGCGUAAAGGUAAAUAUGUUAUAUUGAUCGUGCGAUGAUUUACAAUGAGCCACGACCCUUUAUAUUUAUUUAUAUUUAUAGGGUGCAGUGGACUUUGACAUUACACAGCAAGACUAAUCACAUACAAGGCAAGUCACGUACACAAUCUUUUCUAAUCAAAACUCUAUCUCUAAUCAAGCUUAUCUCUAACCAACUCUAUCUCGAGAAUAUUUUAUUCUAUAAAACAACCUCCCGUACAUGCGCUUCCCCUGGAUGCCAAACAAAUUGGAACUCUUGCCGUGUACAUGUGUGCGUUGAUUUCCUUUUUUUAAUCUUCUAGCUUUCUUGCUUUCUCUUUCUUCAUGCACACGUUCCUGAUUUCUGCGGCCAGCUUGCAAAUAGCCUUAUUCAGGAGAUUUCGUCAUUUUUUUUGCAUCAUCGGCCAAUUCCUUUCUUUCAGAGCAUAUUUCCAAAUCUUGGUGUUAACAGAAAGCAUAUCUUAGUCUGCAGGUUAUUUUAGAUUCUUAUAGGCUAUACAGUAGUCCUGUAUGGAACAUACAGCACCACUUUGCCAUUUCUAGAUUCUUAGCCUCCACUUACCGGCACGAGUCACAUGAAAAUCAAAGCUUUGCAGAAUAUUUGCAUCUGGGUUUAACAUCGGCGCCGAGAUAAUGGGUGCUGGAGUAGGAAGAGUAAUUUGAACCAGUGGAGCCAUCAAUGCUAUAUCCACAACUGUGCAUGGCGCAAAACAAUAUCAGAAAAAAAAAAAGGGUAUAACAACGAUUCCAGAUGUGUAAAAAGUUGCAUCAAAAGUGGAUGCCAUGCAAUUGAAGCACUAAUGCUGCUGUGACAUUGAAGUUGAUAGGUACCAGUUUAAACAUUGAAAAUGGAAUGAAAAAUUAUCUUGUAAUCACUGUCUAAAAUUUUUUAUGGUAUAAGGUCAAGAUGUUUUAUCAUGGCAAUCAAAAGCAGCUAGACACUGGUAGAAAACUCACCUUUAGUCCCGGUUAGUAAGGAGCAAAUCUUCUAAAAAUCCAUCCGGGAUAAACUAAUCGAGAUAAAAGAGGGGUCGUUUAUCUCGGGUCACUCAAUCGGGACUAAAGACCCCCUUUUAUCCCAGUUGGUAUUACCAACUAGGAUAAAAAGGGUCGCCACGCCAGGCGCGGCAAAAAAAAAAAGAAAUCCCGAGGUAUACCCGGGAGGCCCCCACACACGCACGCCGCAAGUCACAAGUCACACAUUUUUUUCACGUGAAAUAUGCGCGUGUGCGGUGCGUGGGAUUCGAACCCACGACCUCCAGCCUCGCGCGUAGCUUCCACGCGAUUUUUCAUGCGAAAUAUGUGCGUGCGCGGUGCGUGGGAUUCGAACCCACGACCUCCAGCCUCGCGCGUAGCUUCCUUGCCAUCCCACCUACACAGCACAUCUGACUAUAUAGGAGAUGCAAUCCUUUUGUAUUAACUCGUGGAUGACCCUUUUAUCCCGGUUGGUAUUACAAACUGGGAUAAAAGGGUUCGAGGCAUUUAGUCCUCUUUCAGCCACCCCGUGGGGACCCUUUUAUCUGGGUUUGAAACACCAACCGGGAUUAAAGAUCCCCUUUUAUCCCAGUUAACCUGGAUAAACCGGGAUAAAAGGCCUCUCAGGGCUGUUUUUUUCCACUAGCCUUUGCAACCGGGAUAAAAGGUCCCGGUUGGUGAGCCCCCGACCAGUGAUCGAGCUUUAGUCCUGGUUGGUGAACUUUUUGUCCCGGAUCAACUUUAAACCGGGAUAAAAAGGGGCGCAUGGAAGGUAGGUUCUCUACAUGAAAAUGGCCAUAACCGUAAGAGACUGUCAGUGUCCACAAAACCUAAGCUAAUGAGUAACAGACACUUAAGCAAAAUUUUGAAGUGUUCCUAGCAUAACUUCAUGUGUUUUUAUCAUAACCUCACAACAGAACAUAUAAUAUCAGAAGUUCCGGUUCUGUCUUGUCUAUACUAUUAAGACUUUCUAGAACCUCUAACUUAAUGUCAGUGCAAGCUUUGCUUUCAGCAUGAUCUGUACAUGGCAAGGCUUCUGUUCAACAGGAUCAAGCCAAUACAUUGCAGGCUAAGUUAUGACAUUGAUUAGAGUGAGCUCCUCAUGGUUUUUCUCUACCCUCCCGACAGUAACACAACAAAAACAGAACAAAAUGACCCAUAGCUUAACUUGAGCAAAUGAUUAGUUAUGAAAAAAAUGAACCUGGCCGAUAAGGAUGGUUGAAGCGACAAAUAGAACCAUAUUUGCAGCUGUAAAAGCACAGCAGGAAAAACAGUCAGAUCCCUCCAAACUUUUAUUCGGAAGAGUCAAAGGCAACUAAGAUGCUGAAUUAGUGAUCCUGUUGGAGAAGAAGGUACCUGCCUGUCUUCGUAUAAAACGAGCAGUCCACUUCACCCUGCAAUAUGGGAGAAGAGGUGUUAAGCAAUACAAGCUACUUGGGUAGUCAAUGUAAAAUGUAGUAUUAAACUUUAGUUUAGUGACAUGUGAAAAGAUACUCUAGCAGACGGUACUUUGAGAGAACCAAGAACAAGGAGAGUUGUAGAGAGAUAACAAUUUGCAUUCAUCAAAACCUCUAAACCGAGCCUGGAUUACCGACAGAAUCUCCAGUAGGCAUAGAGCAUGUUUUACCUUGUUACUUUACUGCAUAUUUUGCGACAGACUUAUUGAUACGGUUUCCAAAUGAAAAACAUGAAUAAAACCGGAACUUACUGUAUCUAGUGCCACCAUAAGACAGGUACAGAAAUAAAGUUUACUGCUCUAGCUAAAGAAAAACACCACUUAUCAACAUGUAUGAUGUGAACCUUACCAAGUUACUAUCUUAGCCACUAGUUAAACGACCUUGUGACUUGUGAGUGUAUGACAGACUGAUUUGCUACAGUACUGUUGUUCCAAGCAAUUACGGUAAAUGCAGGUCCAGCAGAAAUUUGGGCCUACCUCUCCAAAUUCGUUUUCUCCCAAAGGGCCCAACCUGCAAAAGAAGCCUUUGGGCCUACCUCUCCAAAUUCGUUUUCUCCCUAAGGGCCCAACCCGGAAAAGAAGCCUGGUCACUAGCAGAGAAGUCCUCUAAACCCUACGGAGCGAUCGAUUCUCUCCAGUUCCGCACUUCCGCAGCCAUGGCCGCCGCCACCUUCUCCGCCGCCGGCCGCCGGCUCCUCUCCACCGCCGCCGCGGCCGCUGAGAAAACCGAGCUUCCAGUACCUAUCGCCCAGCUUCGCCGGCUCGCCCGCGCGGGUCGCCUCGCCGAUAUCGACGCGGCCCUCGCGCCGCUGCUCCCCUCCCACACCGUCGCCGCGCUCUCCUCCCUCUCCUCCGUCGGCCUCCCGCACCGUGCCGAGGAGCUGUGGCGCGCUAUGGUGCAGGACCACGGAAUCGCCCCCGACGCCGCCGCCUACAACUCCCGGAUCACCUACAAGUCCGCCAACGGCACGGUGGACAAGGUCAGGGAGCUGUCAGGUAUGCACCUACAAUUAAGAUUUUCUGAACAAAGACGCAUACUCAGAAACUGUGAAAUAAGCCAGCACUAGUACUUGAUGGAUAGAUUGGAAUAACAUUUCACUUCUCGUGGAGAGACCGGUACCAUUUGAAGCUAUAAGGGUCAUAGCACCCAUAUCAAAUGGCGAAAUAAGGAAAAAGUUUAUUCCAAAGCAUCAACAACCCGAUCAACAACUGACUAAAUAAACAGAAUCCGAAGGGGGAAGGUCUGAUCCUUUGAUAUAGCUAUUAUCAGCCCAAACAGACACUAUCAACAUCUUAAAAUUACAGCAAGCCUAAGUUGUCGAGGGUCCAGAUCGAAGCUAGGGUGGUAUGAAUACAAGAACAUCAUGAAGCACUAGAGGGAAAUCACGCGCGCACCCAAACCGGACGGAGCAUUUCCGCUGCUGCUACAGAUGGCUGCGAGUACACCGCCAUCGCGCCCCCCAGCCGUCUUCGACGCCGCGCUAAGCCGGCAAAGAAUGGUGCGAGCACCAGCCACCUGCCAGCCCGCUAUGCCCGAUAAUCGCCAUGGGCCUCCGCGCCACCGUCACCGCCUAUCGAGCAAGAAGGGGAGAGAGACCGUCUCCUUGAGUGAACCGAAACGUGAGCGGACGCCUGAUUGUUCUGGGAACGGAGUUUCCCCUGCUGGUUGUCGCGCGUGGUGGCAAAAUGUGGUCACAGAACGGCCGAAACCGGGUCUGUGGAACCUUGCACCAAAGGAAAUGGGCCCGACACGGGUUAGGGGAUUGAUGGGGAAGGCCGACACAGGAUGCGACCUCCGGGUGCGCGGAUGUCGUGGGGCUAGGUUCACCAUGCAUGGUUAAAGAACUCGAAUCUAUUCAUCUGCCUCUCACAGUUUGAGAUUACUUGAUCGCUAUGUCCCCCUAAGUAAAUAAGGAAUCUAAUGAUGGCAAUGUUGUUGUUUCUAUCUACACACUUGAUUGGCUCGAUGUAUGCUUAGAAUAGUUGCACAACCUAGACUGGUAAGUAAAUCUAUAACCGGAUCUAAACUUGAAGAAUAGGUUACUUAGUGCUUUUGGCAAACAAACCCCUCAGCCAAUAAUACUCUGCAUGUCUAGUUGGGAGAGUAGUUGGCUCCUCCCCGGUAAUUCUUGUUGAGCAUAGUAGCUAACCGUGUUGUGGCUCCUGUUUUCAUGUGAAGUGUCAGCUUCCGAACCCUUCCAUGGAUGGUGCAUGGGCCGACGCCAGCUACCCGCCNNNNNNNNNNNNNNNNNNNNNNNNNNNNNNNNNNNNNNNNNNNNNNNNNNNNNNNNNNNNNNNNNNNNNNNNNNNNNNNNNNNNNNNNNNNNNNNNNNNNACUUUGCUCGGCCCACCGCAGGAGCCCACCCGGCCACAUAACUACACGAGCAACGGCCAAUGGGCCCAACUCAACCAGGGAUCCCGACUCGCUUCCUCGUCCCUCCUGUGACCUUCCUUCUCCCCUUCUCGCUCGAUAGGCGGCGGCGCAGAGGCCCGUGGCGAUUAUUGGGCAUGGCGGGCUGGCGGGUGGCUGGUGCUCACGCCGUUCUUCGCCGGCUCAGCGCGGCAUCGGAGACGGCAGGGAGGCGCGAUGGCGGUGUUCUCGCAGCCAUCUGUAGCAGCAGCGGAAAUGCUCUGUCCGGUUUGGGUGCGCACGUGAUCAGGCCUUCCCCCUUCGGAUUCUGUUUAUUUGUUGAUCGGGUUGUUGAUGCUUUGGAAUAAACUUUUUCCUUAUUUCGCCAUUUGAUAUGGGUGCUAUGACCCUUAUAGCUUCAAAUGGUACCGGUCUCUCCACGAGAAGUGAAAUGUUAUUCCAAUCUAUCCAUCAAGUACUAGUGCUGGCUUAUUUCACAGUUUUUGAGUACGCGUCUUUGUUCAGAAAUAUCUUUUUUUAGCUAAUCUUAAUUGUGUUGCAUUCGUGCAGGUCAAUAUGCAAAUUUAUUCAGGGCACAAACAUUUGCCUCAAGGAGUAUUCCAGUAAACUUUCAUCAGCUGAUCCGCAAUGCUGUAAUUCACUUGUCUCAUGUUGGUUUAUAUGGUUAUGACUAUAUAUUUUGUAAGGAUAAUAAGAAAGGAACAGCCAUACUAAAGGAUGUGUGUUUCUCUUUCUGGUGCAACCAGACGUCUUUUAUAUAAGAAUUAAUUUGAACUUUGCAAUCAUUUCUGUUUGAUACCAGCAGAAAAUGCUUAACAAAAUACUUUCUGUCAUUGUUCAGUUUUGUGGUGGGUGUCAUAUUGGUAUUCCCAUCACUUCGCUUGCAUCUCCUACAUGUUCUAUGUAUGGGGCAAAAAUUACAUUGUCAUUCUGUAUUAAGUUUCUAGCUAACUAUUUAUAUGGACUUGGCAUUUCGUUGCAGGGAAUAUCGACUACAAGGAACUUGCUUGCAGAUGAUGCCAUGGUUCCUAUUUCUUCUCCUUUGACACCUCCACUGGGUGACGGUGAAGAAACUGACAAAAAGGGAGCUGUGGUUAAGCGACUAAAGGUCCAAGCCAUAAAAAAGGAUAUCAAACAGGUAACAACACUGCAGUACUAGUUAUAUCUUUCCAUGAAACUAUUUAUUGGCUAUGUGAGUAUGUUGAUGGCAUAUCUAUUAAUCUGGAAAAUAUCAUAAAUUUGCUGCAUUUAGACUUUGUGUUCUCUGAAAUAGCUAAAUAUGGCUUCAUGAGGUUUCAGUGGUUAUGUCAUCAUCAACAACAAAAACAUUUUGUCCCGAGCCUUUCAAUGGUCGCAGGGAUGCACGUUGCUGAUUCUAUGUUGCUGAGUGCCUGUUUCUAGAAGCUGCACUAAUGGCUUAACUUCGGUUCAAUUUGAAUUACUAAAAACACUUGACAAUAGUACUAAGCAUAUAUGGUAACAGAGAAGGAGGUUGCACAAAUUUCAUCAAUUGAUACACUGCAUGUUGCUUUUGCUGUAAUAUAUAUCAUUAAGAGAUGUUUUUAUCUCUGAUUUUCUGAAGCUUUUUGGCUGUUUUAGAGCCCAAAGAAGGUGAAUCUAGUAGCAAAGCUGGUCCGAGGUAUGCGUGUGGAAGAUGCCUUGUUGCAGCUGCAAGUGACAGUUAAAAGGGCUGCUAAAACUGUUUACCAGGUCCUCUUUAGUGAACGUUUUGACUACUCAACUGCUUCCCUUGAUACAUAGUGUCAAAUGACCAAAGUCAUCUUUCAUCAGUAUUAUAUCGUACUAAUUACUGCAGGUGAUCCAUUCUGCUCGCGCAAAUGCAGCCCACAACCACGGAUUGGAUCCUGAUAAGCUCAUUGUUGGUAAGGUUUUUAAACAAAGCAUGUGCCAUCCCCUAUAUUUGUUAUAAACUAAGUACUUUCCUGUAACCUUUCAAACUGCAGAGGAGGCCUUUGUGGGAAAGGGACUUUACCUGAAGAGGCUGUCUUACCAUGCCAAGGGGAGGUGUGGUGUCAUGGUGCGACCCAGGUGCAGAUUGACAGUGGUGGUUAGAGAAGCUACAGCCGAGGAAGAGGCAAAGAUUGCCAAACUCAGGGUGAGCAACUACAAGAAGCUAACCAGAAAGGAGCGGCAGCUUAUGCCACAUCGGCUCAUCGAGGUUAGCCCAAGGUGGGCCCGCAAGAGGAAAGAAGAGGCUGGUGCUACGGCGUAGUGAUAGUUUCUGUAAUGCAGUGUCUGCCUUCAUUCACCGUUUUGCACUUGGAAACAGCUAGAAUUUGCCAAAGAACAAUUAUGUCUCUUACAUGAGAUAUUUCAGGGUCUGGUUUGCUUGCUGAGCCAGCCUUGUUCUAUUUGUUUGUUUCAUCUGCAUGAAACCUGUCAAGACAUUGCCAUGUUACCUUGACUGUAGGACAGUGUGUUUUACCAACAGUUCUCUUAUACAAUCAAUAAUUUGCAUAUGUUGUUUUGUUUGACUGGUCUGACUCGGUCUGUUUCUCCUGCUUGCCCUCAUUAUCUGGGCAAGCACCAAUUUGUUCGUACUCUUUUCAUAGCACAAUCAUUUAUUGCUGCACUGCAAGCUGAAAUGGUGUUGUGAUCAGGUUAGUGUUUGAUCCAUUUCUACCUCUUGUUGCUUUCACGUGAUUGUUUCACCGCUACCUGUUAGCUAUGCAGAGUGGUCAACGGGUUGUAUAUUGAUCAAUGGUACUACUUUGUUAAUGGUCUGAUGUCGAAAUGUGCAUAAAGUAGCUAGCUGUUAAAUAUACUUGAGCUGUGUUUAUUCCUUGAAUAUUUUAUAAAUCUUUGAUUGUUCAGUUGCUGUUUUAGCUCCAAAGAUAUCCUAAUGCAUUAGGAUGGUAGGAAUGUUCUGUCACUUGGAGUACUGUACAAUGAAACCAUCUAGUACUUUACAGUUGCUGUUAGGAUAGUUUUUGAAAUAAUGCUGUUAGGAUACUGGCCUGAGAAAGAGAGGUCAGCAGUUCUGAUGAGGCAAGUUGAAUGCUGGAAACAUGUGCACGACAGUUCUCUGUUUGAUGGACUUCUCAAAUAAAGAGGCAUAUGCUUCAUGGAGAAAUUAUAUCCAUCCAGUUGUCCAAUAUUACUAAUGCUCCUUAGAAUUGAAAUGCCAAUUUUGUCUGACCCAUUGUUGAUUGUAAAGUUUGAAAGUUCUAAUGGGCUGGGAACCUAGUUUCAUAUAAGUUGUCCUGUGUAUGAAAAAACUUAUUGCGUCCACAUUAGUUUGCCUCCAUUUUCAUUUGGCCGCUUAUUACUCAAAGAUUAUUGUAAUUUGGAAAAUCAAAUAUUUGCAGAAUUUGCUUGGAAUUUAGAGUUCAGUUGUUCAUGUUUAUGGUGAAUGUAAUAGAGAAGAAAUCUGGACGUUUGGUUUCUGACUUUCUGUUUUGCAUGUGUCUACGUUACUGUUUGUUCAUUAUUAACUGAACUGAAAACCUGCAGGUUCCCAAUGAAGAGGUGAAAUGUGUAAAUGAUUGGCGUUACACUAAGGAGGUCCAAGCGAGUCUGGCUAUAAUAUAUUUGCCCAUGUGUGUAUAAUCUUGGGGGUGUAUUUGGCAACCCAAGCAGAAAAAAGGCUGCUCUAGCCAAUGUUUGUUUCAGUGGUUUUGGGGUCUGUUCUCAAUAGACGGUUUCAUUUAAUGUGGCUCGGUUUGCUCCAUCCAUGCUAACCUCCCACAUCAACGUGCAUUGUUGUCACACAGUAUUUUUUGUUGACCCAUAUUGUCUGGAGCCAUGUAAAAAUGUUAUAAAUCCCCAGGGUUCACAUUUGAUGCGCCAAUAAGCAGCUCUCAAUUUUUAAAGCAAGCGUGUGUUUUCUUGUACCCCAUGUACCAGUAGUCUUUGUUACUGCUUCGCGCGUUUCGCUGGAAAGACUUCCUGGAACAUGCUCUGCACUAGUUGAAACCUGAACUGGUCAGCAGUAUAACUGUAAGCGAUGCAAACCAUUAUUUGGGAGGUUGCACCUCAGGUCGAAAACACCAAUUAAAAGAUAUUCGAUGAAGUGUGUGGGCUAUUAAAACAUGACACCGCAUACAGCUGUAACAAUGCUUUCUUCUUUUUUUCCUUUCAAAGAUUACUUUUGUUUAAUUCAAUCUGAAAAUUUUUCAGUAUUCAUGGCGUUUCCGCCCUUUUCAAAUGAUGUGUUUUCACUAAGUUGCACUUGCACUCCCCUAAUAUUUGGACACAAGAAUUUACCGAUAGCACUCCCCUAAUAUCGGAACGAAUCAUGUCUCGAGAAAAAUGCUAUUAUUACAUACACGAUUUGGGAAACUUGAAACCAAAGGCAGUUAAUGUGAAACUGAUCUUGAAUUUUGUAGUUGUAGGUUAAUGAGAUUGAUUCAAAGCAUUAAAGACGCUCUCGAUUCAGAUGGAUGAGGGUACUGCUGCAUCCUUUUGGCAGAAAUGCAGUGGCCUCUAGGAUCAAGGACCAGCCUGAGCGAGCGAGAUGUGACGAAGCACACAGUGGCAACAGCAGGCGCCACACCCUGCGGAGGACGCUACAAUCAGGCAAAACCCAGCGGGCUGCUGCCGAUUUAAUUUUGACCGCAGCGCAUUCUGAGCCGCCUCCUGCCCAGCAUCAGGCCAUUACCUUACUCGGCCGUGCAGCCUUCAGAGCGCCACAUGGAGCCAACCGGACACGGCCGCCCUACGCGUGUACGAGACGCGCAGCACGGUUUGAGUGCGCUGGGCACCUCGGCAUGGCGUCGAUCUGGCCGCUGGCAGCUCCAGGUCCGGCCCUCACCACCUCUGCAAUGCAGCUACAGUGCCCUCAUACUCGGGCAGAGCCAAAGAAUGCUCUUCAAUGCGAAGUUACGUACGGCCGGGCAAUGCGUACAACGAAGCACAGGUGCGUAGUGGCAAAGCCAAAGAAUGCGUUGCUGCAAUAUGGCAACAUGACCAUUAUGUGCCAGGUUACUGUUAUCUACGGCAACAAACGAAGGUAACUCGCUAGUACCACCAGCACUGCUCCGAUAGACUCCUUCCGGUGGUACUCAACUUCACAGCUCAGAAGCCCAUCAAGACCCAGGCAACCAUCAACCCGACAGCGCGUUUCGCUAUGUAUUACAAGCCCGAGGCAGGUGGCAAUCACGGGACGACGCUCCCUUCCUUUGCUUCACCUUCUUUCUUCUCCUCAUCUUCCUUUCCGGCCGCCUGCAGCUUGGAAAUAGCCUCCUGUGGGGGAGGGUGGUCGAACUUGCAGUGCGCGCCAUACCUGCACGUGCCAGACCUCAUGUAGAAGGCACACGCCUCGGCGCUCUGCGUAGGCACCAGUGAAGCGUCAGUUUGAGUUAACAUUAGAAGUCCCAGCUGAGAACCAGCGUACAACACAAAAGCUUUCUUUCCGGUGAGAAUGAACAUAGAGGUCACAACAAUUGAUGCUGUAAUAUAGUCUAGCAAUGUUACCUCUCUCCUUGGAAGGCCAGCAAGAGUAAGUGUCACAGGCUGCUCAGGAUCCCAGUUUCCGUUGGCACCAGGUUCAGAGCGGUUCAUAGGAUGGUGAAACUUGCAUUUCUGAGAAUACUUGCAAAAUCCUGUCUUCAUGUAAAACUGCAAUACACCAAAAUGAGAAAAGGACAAAAAGCUCAAAUAAGCACAAUAAAUCAAGCACAUAGAUGAACUGAAUUAGACAUUUAAGGAGACGGUCAUGCCACAUACAUCACAAACAGUCUCUCCAGGCCUCUGAGGAUAUAUUGGCACAGGUUCAAUCGGUGUUUUACGAAAAGAAAGCACAUCUUAGUCUGCACUAGGUCAUUUUUAGAUUCUUAUAGGCUAUACAGUAGUCCUGUAUGGAACAUACAGCACCACUUUGCCAUUUUUAGAUUCUUAGUCUACACUUACCGGCACAUGAGUCACAUGAAAAUCAAAGCUUUGCAGAAUAUUUGCAGCCGGGUUUAACAUCGGCGCCGACAUAAUGGGUGCUGGAGUAGGAAGAGUAGUUUGAACCAGUGGAGCCAUCAAUGCUAUAUCCACAACUGUGCAUGGCGCAAAACAAUAUCAGAAAAAAAAAAGGGUAUAACAACGAUUCCAGAUGUGUAAAAAGUUGCAUCAAAAUUGGAUGCCAUGCAAUUGAAGCACUAAUGCUGCUGUGACAUUGAAGUUGAUAGGUACCAGUCUAAACAUUGAAAAUGGAAUGAAAAAUUAUCUUGUAAUCGCUGUCUGAAAUUUUGUGGUAUAAGAUCAAGAUGUUUUAUCAUGACAAUCAAAAGCAGCUAGAUGAAAAUGGCUACAACCGCAAGAGACUGUCAGUGUCCACAAAACCUAAGCUAAUGAGUAACAGACACUUAAGCAAAAUUUUGAAGUGUUCCUAGCAUAACUUCAUGUGUUUUUAUCAUAUCCUCACAACAGAACAUAUAAUAUCAGAAGUUCGGUUCUGUCUUUUCUAUACUAUUAAGACUUUCUAGAACCUCUAACUUAAUGUCAGUGCAAGCUUUGCUUUCAGCAUGAUCUGUACAUGGCAAGGCUUCUGUUCAACAGGGUCAAGCCAAUACAUUGCAGGCUAAGUUGUGACAUUGAUUAGAGUGAGCUCCUCAUGGUUUUUCGCUAUCCUCCUGACAGUAACACAACAAAAACAGAACAAAAUGACCCAUAGCUUAAAGCCGGCCUAUAGAACGAGAAUGCCGUGUCGUCCAGCGGAGCUUAGAAGAACUUGAGCAAAUGAUUAGUUAUGAAAAAAAUGAACCUGGCCGAUAAGGAUGGUUGAAGCGACAAAUAGAACCAUAUUUGCAGCUGUAAAAGCACAGCAGGAAAAACAGUCAGAUCCCUCCAAACUUUUAUUCGGAAGAGGCAAAGGCAACUAAGAUGGUGAAUUAGUGAUCCUGUUGGAGAAGAAGGUACCUGCCUGUCUUCAUAUAAAACGAGCAGUCCACUUCACCCUGCAAUAUGGGAGAAGAGGUAUUAAGCAAUACAAGCUACUUGGGUAGUCAAUGUAAAAUGUAGUAUUAAACCUUAGUUUAGUGACAUGUGAAAGGAUACUCUAGCAGACGGUACUUUGAGAGAACCAAGAACAAGGAGAGUUGUAGAGAGAUAACAAUUUGCACUCAUCAAAACCUCUAAACCGAGCCUGGAUUACCGACAGAAUCUCCAGUAGGCAUAGAGCAUGUUUUACCUUGUUACUUUACUGCAUAUUUUGCGACAGACUUAUUGAUACGGUUUCCAAAUGAAAAACAUGAAUAAAACCGGAUUUUACUGUAUCUAGUGCCACCAUAAGACAGGUACAGAAAUAAAGUUUACUGCUCUAGCUAAAGAAAAACACCACUUGGUAAACACAUACUGGUCUUAUAGGAAGCCCCUUUGGGUUAUGUGCCUCAGAUGAGGCAGUUGGUGCAUGCAUCUUUGCUGGAACCAGAUCAUCUGCUGCACCAAUGUGUGCUGCUGCAUCAGUUGUUGCUGUAUAUAUGGUUUCCUUUGCAAUCACAGAUGGCAUUGGAUGAUUGAACUUGCAAUUUGCACCAAAUUUGCAUUUGCCUGUUUUUGCAUAGAACUGAAAUGAAGGACACUUAAGCAUUGCACAAUGAAAACAAUAAAGAUAAUUGCUGAUAAUAAAAGAUGCAAAGGUAGAUCUUACGGAACAAACAGGCUCAGAAGGCCUAACUGGUAAGAUGGCACUAUCGGUGAUUAGAGAAUGCUGUAUUUCAGGAAAGCAGAGUCAUUGAGACUUCAUCAUGGAGGAUUAAAAAAAUCUAAUAGGCUAGUCAACAAAAAUAAGUACAAAAUAAAUUUCUUACAAAAGGUGGUGGCUCGAUAGAGUGCUGGCAUUGAUACGGAGCGAGCCAGCCCCCUUCAUGCAGGAACCAUCCGGAUUUACGGUGACCAGGACCGUCAUCCUUGACCGUCACACCGUCAGACCCGCAGAGCCAGGGGUGUCGGUUCCAGUACAUGGUGCUCUCCCACCCCGUCGAGCCAACACCUUUGCCCCCAAGCUUGGGAUGACGUGGGCCACCGCUACGAGGCCCGGCGAACUAUCGUCGGAGCAGCACGCCAUUUCAGCUGGUCCUCUCGCUCGACGCUCGCCGGUAUGGGACAAAUCCUCGAGGACUGGCGCGUGCGCCUGCGUGCGCGGUACGCGUAGAUACGGUGGCGCGCCGCGUGGGGUGCUGGACUGAAGCUGGCGGGAAGCUGGCAACUGGCAAGCCUGCAUGUGGGGGCUCGGUCGAUCGGAGUCGGAUCGACGCCCGCACCGUCGGCACCGAGCUCACGGCGCCGCGCCAUCUGCGCAGUACCUGUGCCCAGCUAGACAGUAGACGAUAAAUACAGGAACUCGAGAGUCCGGACAGGAUCCCAAGGAUGUUCGGACUGUGAGCGUGUAAAGUCUAAGACUAUCAUCACGUACACGGACUUGAGAGUCCAACUCCACGGCUCCGUCCAGUGAUUGUGUAAAGCGGCAAACCUUAAAGACAGUCACGCUGACAGCACGCAACGCAACUCUCGGCGUUGCACUCUCACCUGAUUCAGUUUACUUCAAUCUUUUGUUUGCGACUAUUACUUGGUUCUCACUUUUCUUUGUCCAUUUUAGUUGAUCCUUCACUGCUCUCCACCAAGUACAUACUCUAGAGUGAAUGCUCUCCUUUUUUUUUCCCUUCGGAUUUGUAAAGUGUACGGGCUUUUGCCAUAAUCGAUCUGAUCGUCAGAUUCUCCACUACCAUUUCGGUAUGGAUGUAGUCCUCAUAUUAUAGUCCUGACUAUAGAGAUAUGAGAAAAUUCCUUAUAUGGCACCGGAUAAAAAUCUAAUUCCCUAUAUGACACUAGAAAUUUUUACCUCCCUUAUUUGACACUGGGAUUUAAUUUCCAUUCCUUUCUUGACACUUCUGUUCCUUAUUUGACACUGGGAUUUAAUUUCCAUUCCUUUCUUGACACUUCUGUUCCUUAUUUGACACUGGGAUUUAUCUUUCGUUCCUUUCUUAGACCACACGUUAAUGCUGCCCUUAAAGAGGUUUCUUCGGCGCUGCAGUGGUGAUGGCUGAUGCACCGCAAGAUGAUCAGCGUCAGUAGCGUUACGGGGAGUUAGAUGAGUUUCCACGUCAUUCCAUUCUACCACCGACCACAACAAUGGCCAAUCUCCAUUCGGGCGGGCACUUAGAUGAGCUCCUACAAGAUCAGCUACGAUUUCUCGAGAAAAAUGUAAUUGCCAUUAGGGGUACAUAGAAAUACACGAACAUUUUCAGUUCAUCCAUGCUAAUCGUGACAAUAACCGAGUAUAAAACUUCCAGCCCAUGCCAGGCCCCAAAUUAAACUGCUGAAUACAUAAGACCAAAUGGUACCGAAACUGUUUCAGGUUAUUCCUUCCACAGAUGUCACAAUUCUAGUAAUGUGGCACUAGCAGAUGUCUCAAACUUGGAUCUAUGAAUACAUUGGCAUGAAUGUAAUCUUAGCACAAUUCAACUCUGGCCAGAUACUAGAAACGCCAGCAAGGCAAAAACGCAAUGCGCCUACUCCGACAGGGUCGACUUCAGCUCUCCGCUCUUCUCCAUCUCGAGAAUGAUAUCACAACCCCCUAUCAGCUCUGAUUUGUAGUACAGUUGAGGGAAAGUAGGCCAGUUGGAGUAUGCCUUCAGACCUUGUCUAACUUCCUCAUCUGAUAAGAUGUCAAAGGAUCCAAAGCUGAUCCCUUCAUUCUUCAACGCGUUCACAACCUUCGAACUGAAGCCGCAACGAGGAGCAUCUGGGGUGCCCUUCAUGAAAAGCAUCACUGGGGCUGAGGAAAUCAAGGCCUUCAGUCUGUCCUCAAGAGUUUCCUUUGGUAUAACCCCUUUCUCAGACAGAACCUUCUUCAAUUCACCACUCUUAUGCAUCUCCAUCACUAUGUCGGAACCACCAACCAGUUCACCUUUUAUGUACAGCUGAGGGUAACUAGGCCAGUUUGAGAAAACCUUUAGACCCUGUCUAACAUCAUCAUCUGCAAGGAUGUCAAAACUGGAGAAAGGAAUGUUCUCUUGCUUAAGGAUGUGAACCAACUUCCCACUGAACCCACACUUUAGCUCCUCAGGUGAACCUUUGAUAAAUACCAUCACAGGGCUGGAAUUAACAAGGCUUUCCAAACGAGCUUUCAGAGCAUCAGUAAGCCCGACUGGUUCAGAAACUGCACCACCCUUUCCAGUUGGAGCCUCAGGUUCCACUGUCUCAACGUUUUUGCUUCCCUGUGGUUUGAGGGGAAUAUUGUGCUCCUCAAAAACAUCCUUCAAUUCACCACUGUCAUGCAUUGCAAUAACAAUAUCACAUCCACCAAGCAGCUCACCUUUGCAGUACAGCUGAGGGAAAGUGGGCCAGUUGGAGAACUUCUUCAUUCCUUCACGUACAUCAUUGUCUGUGAGAAUAUCAAAGCUCCCAAAAUCGACUCCUUCCUGCUUCAAAAUGUCAACCACUUUACGGCUGAAACCACACCUUGGUUGCUCAGGGGUUCCCUUCAUAAACAAAAAUACAGGAUGUGAAUUGACAAGCUGCUCCAAUCGCUUAUUCAGUGAAUCUGGCAGGCCAACAGAGUUUGUGCCCUCAUCAGCAGAAGAUCCAUUCCGCUGAGCCAAUUCUUGGACCUUUUCAAGUACAGCAGGCCCAGCAGCCACUCCAAGGCUAGCAGGUACAGCGGACUCAGCAACACUAGCAGGCCCAGCUAUUUUUGCAACCUUAUUGGCCAGGCUAGCUGGAUUUGCUCCCUCAAGAGUAUCAACAGUUUUGCCUUCCUGCAAUCAGAUAGUGUAAGCAUGAGCAUGAAAACCUCCUAAUAAAGAAAAAUCAUACAAAUCUAUAAAGAAUUCAGUAAGAAAGAUUUUAGGAACUCCUGAAGUUAACUAACAAGAAACCAAUUCCUCCAGGAAAAAAAACCAAUCACUAAUAGGAAAAUAAUCUACACUAAAAAUAAGAAAAGAAAAUAACCAACUAGGUUAUUUGACAUCUUCCAAGCAGUCCUCAAACUGUGUCUUGACACUAUGUUAAACAAAUCCGCAAUACAAAUACAUAAAAAAGACAGCUAAAAUAGAAAAAACUGUCCAUAUUCAUAUCAUACAGAAGUCGUGAACUAAUGGCCAAUAUGUAUAAAUUGCUAUAAUUAGUGAUGAUCAGCUUGUUCACUCAAACAGUUUAUUUAAUUUGGCUCAAGUGAGGAGCUGACAAGGUGUACAUCACCUGACCUCACUUGUUUGCAGAGAACAUCAUAUGAAAGUAUCACAACUGUUGGACAUACAUAGUAUUGCACUAGGGAUUUCCAUUGGCACUGCAUGGGUUCAGAUAACAGAAAACACUUCAAAAUACGCUGCAAGGCCUUAAAUUUCUGAAAUGUACAUUCCACACAAUCACAAAAUACCCCUAACCACAAUUGUCGUACGCCAAAUAGAAUCUUAAUCAUAGAGUAUUGACAGCAACACUAAACUAAUCUAUACAAAAUCUUUAGUUUAGAAACGUUCAAGUGAAUUCGGUGGAUAAUACCAAGUUGUUAUCGACAGUGCAUAUGAAUGCAUAUUAAAGGAUGGCGUUAUAUGAGACUCCCAGGUCUCAUUGAGAAGGGAGAGAGAGAAUGGAGAACUUUCAUCUAUUAUUGCUUAAUUUCAAUGGAUAAAAAUAUAUCCCAUUUAUAGAAUCCUUGUCCUGGCUUCAAAACACCUAGAUAAAAGAGCUCAUCCCUACCACAUGGAAUCUAUAUGGGAGGACACUAAAACAGUACCCAAACCUCAAACCAAUAUCUAACUACUAAAUAAAUAAUGCUGCAUAGCCUUCUGUUUGAGCAGUGCGCAGAUGCUACGGUAGCCAUGGGACUAGUUAUGCACUUAUGCUAUAGUGCCAUUAUAGCAUUGACUACAUUAAAAUUUCCUAUUUCUAAAUAAAAUGCCAAAUCAUUCAUUAGAUAUACUUAAAUGGUGCACGAUUGUAGUUCAUGAAAAGAUUAAUGUUGUGGAUCCUUACAGAACUGCCACUCAUUGUGUUAAAUAUACUGCACUUUACGAGAACUUUGACGAUAUAAGAGAUCCAUUCAAUUAUUCAACCUCAGUGAAGAAGACAAGCGACAUAAUUCUAUCAGAAACCAUUGUGCAAAAAUAAAAUAACAACAUGAUAAGAAGCAUGAACAAACAGUAGCAGUUGGCCUACCUUGCAGAAAACAAAAUAUGGCACCGCUGAAACUCCAUAUGCCUCUGAUAUUUCAGGUUGUUCUUCAGCUUCAACCUGACAGAAGUUACCAGCAAAUAAGUGAAUAUAUUUUGAUUUCGUUGACUGUUAAUGAACUUACUGUAUACACUAAGCACCCUGAGCAUAAUGACCACAAAGAAGAAAUAUUGAAUAGCAUCAGCAAUUACUCAGUCCAAAUGUCCAAUGAUUUACUAAUUCAGUGAAACUGCUAGAUAUAGGACCAAUAAGGAAACAGGUUGACAAUGUUUUCAAAUGUGCUGUACUAAAAAAAAAAAGUCUUAAGCUGCAUACAAAUCACAAGCUAGCGUGACAUUGAACGGAGUGACCUUACCACAACUGAACACAAUACUAAACAAACACCACACGGAAAAAAAAAUAUUGAAACAUAUAAGCAUGAGACUUGAAAUACCAGAUCAUAGAGUUAGCUACGAUUAGCUUAACAAUUAUGCACCCUGACAAGUUGGAUACUCUGUAGAGUUUUGAAAUUAAACUUAGUACAAUUUGAACAACAAUGUACAAGGAAGUUACAGCAAGUCCAAAACAAUCCUAUGAACAGAUGGCUCAUGCGCAGAAGAAUUACAGCGACAGAAGUACAAGUUAUUGAAUUUAAUCAACUGCUCCAUAACAUUCAGCUCUAGUUUUGCGCUUCUGCCUCACGAUCAAAUCAGUAACAUCUCAGAAUCUACAGUCUACAGACUCAUGAUUUUGCCGAAACAACAGGGGGGGAAACAUUCACAGCAUUCACAGUAAAGCAACCCAAACCAACAAGCACCCUCCGCCUCAACCACACAAAACCCUAAACUCUAACCCCGAAUCCGAACCCCCCCCCCCCCCCCCCCGACGAGCCCACUCAUCGGCUACCGAACCGAAUCUACCGCGAUCGGAGGACGAGGCGAAGGGUGGCAGCGGAAGCAGGCGUACCCUGAGGAAGACUGCGUGGGGGAAGUCGACGGCGAGGUGGGCGAAGACCUCAUCCAUCUGCUUCGACGCCUCGCACCAUCCCGCCCAGAAGUGCACGGCGGCCGCCCGCGCGCCGGCCACCGCCGCAUCCAGCUCCGCCUUCGACCCCACCUCCCUCACCGCCCCGCCGCUCGCCAUCGCCUGCACUGCACCACCACCCUUCGCAGGAUGAGACGGGAAGAAGAGAUGCGGGUGGAGGCGGCGGUGGUGGAGGACGCCGGGAGUGGAGGUUACGGCUUGGGGUUUUCCUCUGCUUUGCGGCCGCGCGAUCGAAUCGAUCGAUCGGGUGGGUCGUGCAGAGCAGCGCGGAGCGAGCUCAGAGCCCGGAUGGGUCGCCUCCUUUUUUUUUUUUUGUGCGGCUUUCCCGUGCGGCGAUGAGACGGGGGCGGACGGCGGCGGAAUACAUUCGAGAAAGGGGGCGCGUGGGAAAGCGACGGCCGGGAGCCGGGCCGCGGUCCGGCGACGCACGUGGGGGCCCGUGAGGCGUGACCGGCCGGGCCAGAGAAAAGAAAAGGAAAGGUCACGGCGGUGGGUUUCGGCCCACGAGACAUUCAAUUGAUAGGCACCCACAGCCCAAGGUGGUGAGGUUUCGGCUUGUUUCGGCCUGGUCCGGCGCAUUUUUUGGGGGACGUGCGUGUGCGGUGGACCUGGUGGUGGUGGCGCCGCCAGCCUGGCAAAGUGACGUUGUGUGCUGCUGGGCGGCGGUGGGGUCCAGCCGCCGUCUGCGCGGCUCGCUGCCGGUCGAGGAGCCUAUAAAAGGGGAGGGUCUCCGGCAGCUGGUGAGCGCCCUCGCUUGCGCAGAAACCCUAGUCGCCACAUCACGGCCGCCUCGCUCGAUCGGCAUACCGGUCGCCUUGCUCCCAUUUCUCACCUCCAUCUCUCUUCAGUCUUCAGAUCUGUGCACGGCCACAUCAAGCAUGUGCCUCUCCUUUCUCUGAUGUUGGGAGCGUAGCAUAGUAAGCCGGUUGCCGCGAGGUACUGUGAUUUGUGUUUGCGUCUCGGUCCUUUUGAUUGAUGCGGUUUUGGUUGUUUUUUUCUUCCGUUUGUGUGCGUCUUUUUGCCGGAUCACACGGAUCGAUGAUGCUGUUCAAGAAAUACUGCGUUAUCUUCCUGAUACAAAUGUGAGGCCGUCGUUGCGAUGGCCUCCUGAUGACUCAACUGUCUUGCUGAGAUCCAAGUGACAACAAAUCGGCAGCUCUUCUUUCUGUCGCCUCCCCGCCUCAAUCAUCUGCCUAUGCCUAUCAAUUGAAUGUCUCGUAGUCGUAGGACAGGUGUUUUUAUUUUCGUCGCUCAAUCCAUCUUGCCGCCCUGCUAUAAGAGCAUAUGUAACUGCCUUGCUUGCUUCAUAUGGUUGAAUUAAUACGAUCUGACUAGCCAGAUUUAGAAUGGUUGCUUCAUCAAACCAUCAAAUAAUUGAGCCCAAUCCAUCGAUGUUGCAAACCUAUGUGACCUCAACCAGACCAGUUGCAGUUUCAGUGCAGAGUUCAGACAAGCAUUCCUGAAAGGUCACCAACUCUUUGCUGCAUAUUAGCUUUUUUUAUAGCAAUUACUCAAACCGCUUUUCAGACCAUAACCGAAAUUAGCAGCACAUGACGUCUGAGACAGACAGAAAGUAUGGCAUCAGGGAAAAAAAAAAGGUCCCAAGCUAAACAGCAAGUGUAAAGCCAGCUAAUGCAGUUCACAAAUACUUGCAGCGACUUAAACUGCACCAAUUAACACAGUGAAGAUGAACACAGCAAAGUCAAGUACGUGCAUGUUAACCGAACACAGCCGAAUACGGUGCUACCAGUUUACUGAGAUGGUAUCUGGCGGAAGAAAGGUUAACUGAGUUAUGACACGAUUACAUUACAGGCAAUGCGGAAGCAAACUACGGUGUCAGCGUUUAACACCACUUUUCACAGUAUUGUCAAGCAAGCUUAUGUACAGCUGCUCUAACGAAUUUACAGUGACUCCAGCAAGCUCUAUCUCACGACUGAUGAUGGCGGAGCUUCCCCUAGUGUCUCCUAACCGUCAGCGGCAUAGAAAGGAAUCGACUUCAGUGGCAUCACCUUCUCCUGCAAUAUAAGGAAGUGCUGUCAGUGAAUUCUAACCUAUGCCUGGUAAGAAAAUGAACAGGAAUAGCGUGCCUUUGUUGCUACCUCAGAGUUCUCCAGAUGCUCUGAGGGGAAAUGAAGCCCAGUGGAACAGUUCUCAAGCACCUCCGGACUCUUCAGCCAUGCUUUGUGAGCUUCAAUGGCUUUCAGCUUAAAGCGAAACAUCUGCAAGUGCCAACAUCCACCCAUUUUCAGGCACACCACAUAUAAUGUACAGAAAAGUGAAAUGAAUUAUCCUGAAAGAGAAGAGAAAUAAGUAGCUGACAAGGAGUAAUAAUGUGCUACAAACCUCAGAUAAAGAAAUACUUGGCUUCUCCAGUUCAUCCCCCUUGACAUGAAUUCCAGUACCUUGACACUCUGGGCAAAAUAUGGAUGUUAUUUUGCUCUUCUUAGGUGCAUUCUUUGCCUUUCUUCCUCGAUUGCUCUUCCCCUUGCUAGCUAUUUGGUCACUCAGCAUCUCAUAUUGACACAAAAUACUCCAGUGUAAGAGGCAGGAAGUGUGAAACAGAUGAUAAGCCUGCAAAAUCAAGUGUAGCAAACUCAUUACAGCAGCAAAUUAAAAAUUUAAAAAAAGGAGACUUUCUAAUUAGUAUAUUUAAUAAGAUGGAAGAAAAGGAAUUCUGCCACUGCAUUUUUGUCUCAGGGAAGAUAGCUUUGUAUUGCUAAUUGUGAAACAAGGAUGCAGAAGGUCUAACUUUUGAAUUAUGUUCUCAUUUACUUCCUCUGUACAAAAAUAGUAAACCUGUCCAUGCUGCUAUGUUCAAGAAACAUUAUGGAAUAGAAGAGCAAAGAAUGCUUGAAAUUACUCACCCCACUCGAAUUUCUACUGCUGCAAGCUAGGUUUCCUGUAUUGCAGUUCAGCAAGGUAGCAACAUCCUUUCCAGGAAGCAUUGGUCUCCCACAGAUAUCACACACUUUCUCAGCUGCUAUGCGCUUCUGCUUCCUCAACUCUUUCCUCACUGAUUUGCUGGAUAAGAGGCCAACUUGAAGAUUGUGUGAGGUACCUGUUGGGGAACCAGUCACAAUAGCUUGGCUACUGCCCUGGGGAGAACUGCUUUGACCAUUCGACUCUUCUGAAGAUGCCUCCUGGUCCGAAAAGGACUUUCUCAUUCUCUUUCCACGAUGCCCAGCAUCAUCAAUAACAAAGAAAGAUCCAGCAGAGAUAGAAAGGUCCUGUUCAUCAGAAGACCACUUCCUGCCCAAAUCAUGAGUAUAAGAGAAGUUGACUAUGGCAAAGCCAGAUUGCUCAUAAGUGUUACAACUCUGAGAGCCAUGGGAGCCUUCUUGUCCUACCCAAGCACACCAGAUCUUGCUUAUCUUCUUGCAAUUCUUGUUACCUUCACAGAUCCUGUAUGAAAUAUUUCCAUACCCCAAAUGAUGCACAGGCAAGUCUGAAACAACAUCUUUUAUCAAUACACCAGGGAUAACAAGAGGACCAUCAGUUCCACUGUUUGACAGCACAUGAUCUUCAGAUACAGCAGCAACUCUACCACUAGCAUGGCCUUUUGCACAAUUGCGUGCACCUUCCACACCAUUACGGGAGCUAGAACCAUCUCUCAACUUUGAAGUCACCUCGAUCUCAUUCCCUGAAACCUCAGGCUGUGGAACUAGAGCUAGCUCUCUGGUGCUCUGCGAGCUUGAAUCCAGCAGGAGCGGAUCCUUCUCUCGCGAGUUGUUGAAGAACAGCACUCCGUCAUUAAACGGCCAUGGCAUCGGCCCAAACAGUGUGACCUUGGCCUCGGCGUACCGCCUUGAGUGCAGAUUCCCCUUGAGGUGGUCGAACAGCACAUUGUCGCUGAAGCACUCGGUGAGACAGAUGGUGCAGAAGAAGAUGACGCGCUUCCCGACGCGCCGGAGCUCCACAUAUGUGUGCCCAUUCUGCCGCACCUCCCGGAGAGUGGCCUUCGCAGCAAUCUCACGGAUGUCCACAGGGCCAUUCCUCUGGACCACCAAUUCCUUCCCCACCAUGGUGAAAUACUCGGAGCCACCAACCUUAAAUUUCCGCUUCUUUUGCUCACAAUUCCCUCAAAUUUCCCUCCAAAAACUACUUCCCUAACCUUCUCUUAUUGAAAUUAUAUGAAACUACAACCAAGACUAACACCUCUUCAGAUCUAUGCUUCCCUCCAAACCCUAAAAUUACAACUUAACAGCGAACUAACGGAGGUCGGAGCGGGCCUCGAUUACCCCACCCGUUUUUCC
rnacentral:lncRNA from 1 species